rnacentral:rRNA from 1 species
UACGAAGGGGGCUAGCGUUGUUCGGAAUUACUGGGCGUAAAGCGCACGUAGGCGGACUAUUAAGUCAGGGGUGAAAUCCCGGGGCUCAACCCCGGAACUGCCUUUGAUACUGGUAGUCUCGAGUCCGGAAGAGGUGAGUGGAAUUCCGAGUGUAGAGGUGAAAUUCGUAGAUAUUCGGAGGAACACCAGUGGCGAAGGCGGCUCACUGGUCCGGUACUGACGCUGAGGUGCGAAAGCGUGGGUAGCAAACAGG